rnacentral:lncRNA from 1 species
UUGGUGCCCACUCAAAGUUACCAAGUUCUGGGGGAAGUUGGGUCAAGCUGAGUUUUCAUCAUGGGACCACAGUUAUUAGCACAGCAGAAACAUUAUAUGAAAGUAUUAAAACAGUUACUUAAGGCUAGCGGAGCCUCAGUUUCACAGGCUCAAUUAAGGGACCUAAUCAUCCAUGCUAGACAAACUGUUGCAAUGCAAACUCUUGUGAUCCCAAGCCCGUGGUUCCCGGAAGAAGGAACGCUAGACGUAGAACUCUGGGAACAAAUGGGGAGAAAUCUUAACAUGUGCAAAGGCAACAGGUCCCAGUAACAGCUUUAACGUUAUAGGCUUUAAUUAGAGCAGCCUUAGCUCUGUUACACGCAGAAGAGCCUAAAAAGAGCAAGGAGGAGAAAAUGUCACCUGCCUUAUCACCUCCUCUUCCCUCCACCCUAAUAUCACCGGGCCGAAAUAACAGAGGAAACGGGGGUUUAUACCUGAGCCUCCUCCUCCAAUAGAUAGGAAAAAAGACCUAGGAUAUGCUACAGCUAUCAGUCCCUGUCUUAAGCGGGCAGCAUUAGAAGCAGAGCUCUUACUCUGCCCAGUAAUGCAGAAUCGGCAAGGCAAUCAGGUGUAUGUUUAUAAAAAGAUAAGAAAAAAGGCAUUAGGAGCCGAAAGCCGUGCAGCCGAGCAAGCAGUAAAUAAAAAGAAAGGCUCGGCAGCCCGGAAGUUCACAGAAACAGAGCCAGCACAGGCAAAAGGCAGCGCUUUUACAAGAGUAAAACAGCUACCGCCCAGGGACCCGCCGGCUCAGCUCUCUAGCUCUGCAGGUGACCCAAGGCAAGUGCUCCUUGUUUACAAGCGACAUCCCAGAUUAUAAUUCUCUGCUAAAAUUUAAGUAAAAUGUAAGAAUUUGAAAAACCUCUUUUCUGAUAAUGGCCACUGUUGCUCUCUCUCUCCUACCCCUGACGUAGCUCUCCAAAUCCAAUUUAGGUAAAACAGUAACCUCUGAAGGGAGAGAGAUUACAGAAGGCCGAUGAAUUAGUUAAAGAGUAGUUAAAAGCUAGGCAUGUAAAACCACACAUUACCCUUUAAAGGAGAACUUUAAACCUAACUAAAUCAUAUUUGUUAAAUUAGAAGAAAAGUUGUAUGUAAGUGUAGUGAAAGCAUAUGCAUGAAUGACUGUCGUAACCCACUGAUUAGAUAGUCUUUUGAUUUCUACUUGCUAAAAGAGUCCUGAAUUCAGUUUCCCAACUACUGGGUCACUGUUUUCAAGACUGUUGGCCAGAUUAAAGUCCAUAAACUUGAUCAGCUUGAAAACUCAAUUGCAAGAUUUAAGCUGUUCUGCCUGUGGCUUUAAGCACAUGGUUAAAGUAUAUUAUUUAAGUUUCUGCUUCUAGAGAUGCUUUCAGAUUUUCUUUUUAAAUUUCAUGUUACUUAUUUCAACUUGCCAUCUUAAUGAUUAAUGCAGUCAAUUGCUAAGUUAUAACCCUGAUAUCAUCAGGAUUCCUUUAAGUAAAAGGUAAUUCGAAGCGGUAUUGCACUUCCCCAUACCUAAUGCUUUAACACUGUUUACUGAUGGGUCUGGUAAACAUGGAAAAGCGGCAGUCUAGUAGAGACCACACAAUUCCAUCACUCAGAGUUUACUAGCACUCAGAGAGCUGAGGUUACUCUGUUUAUUUAUUAAAGAACUUUUACAGCAUGAAGUUAGCUCUGGAGACCACUCUGUGUGCUCUUUUUCUCCGACUUCAGCAAUUGCUACACCAACGUACACAUCCUGUUUUUAUUACACACAUUCGAGCCCACAGCUCUCUGCCUGGCCCAUUGGCUUAUGGCAAUGAUCAAGCAGCUCUUCAGGUUGUAACAUCACUGCUAGACCAAGCCACCCAAUUGCAUCAAUUUUUCUACUAAAAUUAGAGAAACUCAUCUUAAACAACUUCAACUUAUACAGAGAUUGGCUAAACAAAUUAUCUGACGGUGCCCAGAUUGCCAGCUCACAGGCACAGCCCCUCUUUCAACAGGUGUUAACCCUAGAGGAUUGGAACCUAAUCAGUUGUGGCAAACAGAUGUUACAUCCCUAAAUUUGGGAAACUAAGAUAUAUACAUGUAUCCGUUAAUACCAACACUCACCUAAUUAGUGCACAUUAAAAAGAGAAAUAAAGGGAAAGAAUGAGUAAGAAAGAGACUAGAAAAGACAGAUCAGAGACAGACACAAAAAGACUAAGGAGAGAAAGUAGGAAGAAAGGAAAGAAAUAUUAAAGUUACAGAUAUAAGAAUGCACCUUUAGUAAGGAAGGUUAUAAAACAUAGUCAGAAAGUUAAGCCAUGUUAAAGAUUGUCUGUGAAAGUUGUGAAGAAUGUUAUGAAAAGGAAUUUAUGCAGGAAAUAUAUAAUUUUUGUUUUGAAGGUCUAAACAAGUUUUAAAACGUUAAUUGUAAAAAAAAUUCUGUGUGUAAACAUAUUGGCUAAAAUAAAAAAGGUAUCAUCCAGUUUUUCUGUAAACUAGACAUUAAAGUACAACAAGUUUUUCUUAAAACACUAACCUGCUCUUUAAAGACUGUAAAAAGUCUCUCAGCACAGGCACCACCCCUAGAAUUUCCAGUACACCAGCACCAGCCUGGAGACUACAUUCUUAUCAAAGGAUGGAAAGAAGAAAAAACUCAAGCCAGCCUGAGAAAAGACAUACAGGACCCGCAGCCUCAACAAUGUGGCUUCCGAAGACAACACAGGUCCCAGGCAUUAUGCUAAAGAAGGAAAAGUCUAAGCCAGAUAAUUUAUUCAUUUUAAAUUCUCUCACUUUACCUACUACCUAUACCUGCUACACUCUAUUAAGCUCAUCCCUUAAAUCUGCCUUUUUUCAGUCCUAUCAUCUAGGCAGACACUCCCUUUCCAGCUUCUAACAAUAUCUACGUGUCAAUGUAUGUUUUAUUCUUCUGUCAUUUGGGUCAGGGUCUGAGGGCAGACCCCUGCAGCUAAUGCCCUCAAGUGUGAGGAGCAAUACCUCAGAAAACUAUCCCAAAACCUACUUUACUCCACCUGUUGCUACUUUUCUGAGGAAAAAGUACUGAGUAAUUAUGAUGAACUGUCACUUAAAAAGUCAAGUUUGGUUGAAUUAUAUACAUCUACUUUAGCAUUAUGCUUAUGAAUAUUAACAUCUGAAGCAAAAUGCAUAUAUGUUGUUAAUUAUAAUUAUAAACAUAAAGCAUUGUGAUGUAAAUCUACACUUACGGGAAAUGAUCAUUACAAAGCAAAAAGGCAGGAACCGAAAACCAUGGGACUGAUAGCAAAACAUCCUUUCUGAAAAUUAGGGGAAUUCUAACUAUUUAUGUACAGUUAACAUUGCACGCAGCCAGACUUCUUUGUAGGAUACUAAUUUAGAGUAAUCACUAAACCCUAUUAAUGUGCUAAUUUUAGUUUAUUAAAACAAAUUUUCAGUAAUCCUUAAUAACUCACAGACAAUUAGGUUUGGGAGACAACUAGUUUGGGAGGAGGAAGUCAGAGCCAACUAAGAAUUCCUGAAAAAAUAACAAGAGCAACUCUGUAUUUAUAAUUUAAAAUUCUUUGUGAAAUUUCCACUGCCUAUUUUCUUGAAAUUAUGUUUUACAUAUCCGUGUUUCUCCUUACCAGUCUCUCUCGUUAAAUCAUGGAAUUUGAGUGUCUGUUCAUUUAUUUAUUUUUUUUACUUUUCAUUGGUGUAUUAUAUUUACUAAGUUAACACAUUUUAAAUGUACAGUUGAAAGAAUUUUUACAUACUCCCCGUGUAACUCCUGUGUUAACCAUCUAUAAGAGAAACACAGAUGUGUAAAACGUAAUAUCAACAUACAGAAUAUAUCCAGUAACCCAAAGUCUCCCUAUGCCUCCUUCCAAUCAACAUUUCUUCAAAGGUAGGCAGUAUUUUUUUUUUUUUUUUUUUUGAGAUGGAGUCUCAUUCUGUCGCCCAGGCUGGAGUGCAGUGGCGCUAUCUCGGCUCACUGCAAGCUCCACCUCCCGGGUUCACGCCAUUCUCCUACCUCAGCCUCCCGAGUAGCUGGGACUACAGGCGCCCAGUAGACAGUAUUUUUAUCUCUGUCACCAUUAGUUUUUUCCUGUUCUGGGUGUCAUAAUAAUGGAAUCAGAGAGUAUGUUUUCUUCAUGUCAGCUUGUCUCACUCAACAUUAUGUCUCUGAAAUUCCUCCAUGUGUUGCCACUUUGUAGCAGUGGCUCAUUUUUUUCUGUGUAGUAUUACUUUGUAUGAAUAUGCCAGAAUUUAUCAAUUCAACUACUGAUGAAUUUUUUUCAUUCCUUUGGUAAAUAUGAAUAGUUACUAUGGAUAUUCUUAUAGGUGUUUUUGGUAGACAUAUGCACUCAUGUCUCUUGACUAUAGUCCAAGCAAUGGAAUUGUUGGGUCAUAGGAUAGGUGUUUGUUUAGCUGCAGUAAAUUCUGCUAGUUUUCCAAAGUAAUUGGGCGUAUUUAGACUCCUACCAGCAAUGAUGAAAGUUCUGUUUCUCCAUACCUUUAGUAUUGCCCAUACUUUUAAUUGUAGUCUAUCUGGUGUGUAGGAAGUAGUAUGUUAUUGUUUUUUUUAAACUAGCUCAUUGAGAUAUAACAUAUAUAUAUAAAAUAAACCGCAUAUAUUUAAAGUAUACAAAUUGAUUUUUUUUUUUUUUUUGAGACGGAGUCUCACACUCUAGCCCAGCCUGGAGUGCAGUGGCGCUUGGCUCACUGCAAGCUCUGCCUCCCGGGUUUAUGCCAUCCUCCUGCCUCAGCCUCCCGAGUAGCUGGGACUACAGGUGCCUGCCACCACGCCUGGCUAAUUUUUUGUAUUUUUAAUAGAGAUGGGGUUUCACCGUGUUAGCCAGGAUGGUCUCGAUCUCCUGACCUCGUGAUCUGCCCGCUUCGGCCUCCCAAAGUGCUGGGAUUACAAGCAUGAGCCACCGCGCCCGGCCACAAAUUGAUGUUUUAAAAUAUGUAUACACACCUGAAAUGAUCACCACCAAAACAAUGAACAUACCCAUUAUCUCCAAAAGUUUUCUGUGCCCCUUUGUAAUUCCUCCCUUUCUUUAGCCUCACUCCCCCAUUCCCAAGCAGCCACUGAUAUGCUUUCCGUGAUGAUAGUUUGCAUUUUCUAGUUUUAAAUAAACAGAAUCACAUAGUAUCUACUCUUUGUUGUCUAGCUUAACUCUGCAUAAUUAUUUUAAGAUUCACCCAUGUCAUUGCAUGUAUCAAAAGUCCAUUUUUUUGCUGAGUACUAUUCCAUUGUACAGCUGUACUACAAUUUGUUAUUCCAGUCAUCUGUUGAUGGACAUUUGGUUUGUUUCCAUUUUGGGGCUAUUACAAAUAAAGCUGUUACAAAC